GAUGAAGAACGCAGCGAAAUGCGAUAAGUAAUGUGAAUUGCAGAAUUCAGCGAAUCAUCGAAUCUUUGAACGCACAUUGCGCCCCUUGGUAUUCCGAGGGGCAUGCCUGUUCGAGCGUCAUUUUGACCACUCCCGCUUGCGGGGUCUUGGGCCUUCGCCUCUGGGCGGGCCUUAAAAUCAGUGGCGGUGCCGUCCGGCUCUAAGCGUAGUAAAUCUCCUCGCUAUAGGGUUCCGGAGGGAUGCUGGCCAACAACCCCCAACUUUUAAGGUUGACCUCGGAUCAGGUAGGGAUACCCGCUGAACUUAAGCAUAUCAAUAAGCGGAGGA
rnacentral:misc_RNA from 1 species